AGCCAAUGAGGAUCCUUGCUAACCUGACACGUGAUGAAAAGUUGCCCAUUACGGAUCUGGCUUCUGAGGC